GACGGGUAUCCGGCCUGAGAGGGUGAACGGACACACUGGAACUGAGACACGGUCCAGACUCCUACGGGAGGCAGCAGUAGGGAAUAUUGCUCAAUGGGGCAAACCCUGAAGCAGCAACGCCGCGUGGAGGAUGAAGGUUUUAGGAUUGUAAACUCCUUUUGUUAGAGAAGAUUAUGACGGUAUCUAACGAAUAAGCACCGGCUAACUCCGUGCCAGCAGCCGCGGUAAUACGGAGGGUGCAAGCGUUCUCGGAAUCACUGGGCGUAAAGAGUGCGCAGGCGGGAUAGCAAGUCAGAUGUGAAAUGCUAUGGCUUCCAUAGAACUGCAUUUGAAACUGUUAUUCUA
rnacentral:rRNA from 1 species